rnacentral:rRNA from 1 species
AAUCAACGCUGGCGGCGUGCCUCAGACAUGCAAGUCGAACGCGAAAGGUUCCUUCGGGAACCGAGUAGAGUGGCGCACGGGUGAGUAACACGUAGGUAAUUUGCCUUUGGGUGGGGAAUAACAGCCGGAAACGGCUGCUAAUACCGCAUAAUGCAGCGGCUCGACAUCGAGACAGUUGUUAAAGCGGGGGAUCGCAAGACCUCGCGCCUAAAGAGAAGCCUGCGGCAGAUAGCUAGUUGGUAGGGUAAUGGCCUACCAAGGCGACGAUCUGUAACCGGCCUGAGAGGGCGGUCGGUCACACUGACACUGACAUACGGGUCAGACUCCUACGGGAGGCAGCAGUCGGGAAUUUUGGGCAAUGGGCGAAAGCCUGACCCAGCAACGCCGCGUGAAGGAUGAAAUCCCUCGGGAU